rnacentral:rRNA from 1 species
GCCCCUAUUCUAAGGCGCUUGAGAGAACUCAGGAGAAGGAACUCGGCAAAUUGACACCGUAACUUCGGAAGAAGGUGUGCCUUUAGUAGGUGAACCAUUUACUUGGGGAGCCCAAUGAGGCUGCAAAAAAUCGGUGGCUGCAACUGUUUAUUAAAAACACAGCACUCUGCUAAGACGAAAGUCGACGUAUAGGGUGUGACGCCUGCCCGGUGCUGGAAGAUUAAAUGAUGGGGUGCUAGCUCUUGAUUGAAGUCCCAGUAAACGGCGGCCGUAACGAUAACGGUCCUAAGGUAGCGAAAUUCCUUGUCGGGUAAGUUCCGACCUGCACGAAUGGCGUAAUGAUGGCCACACUGUCUCCUCCUGAGACUCAGCGAAGUUGAAAUGUUUGUGAUGAUGCAAUCUCCCCGCGGAAAGACGGAAAGACCCCAUGAACCUUUACUGUAGCUUUGUAUUGGACUUUGAACAGAUCUGUGUAGGAUAGGUGGGGGGCUUUGAAGUGUGGUCGCUAGAUCGCAUGGAGCCAACGUUGAAAUACCACCCUGGUGUGUUUGAGGUUCUAACCUAGGUCCAUUAUCUGGAUCGGGGACAGUGCAUGGUAGGCAGUUUGACUGGGGCGGUCUCCUCCCAAAGUGUAACGGAGGAGUUCGAAGGUACGCUAGGUACGGUCGGACAUCGUGCUAAUAGUGCAAUGGCAUAAGCGUGCUUAACUGCGAGACUGACAAGUCGAGCAGAUGCGAAAGCAGGACAUAGUGAUCCGGUGGUUCUGUAUGGAAGGGCCAUCGCUCAACGGAUAAAAGGUACUCUGGGGAUAACAGGCUGAUACCGCCCAAGAGUUCAUAUCGACGGCGGUGUUUGGCACCUCGAUGUCGGCUCAUCUCAUCCUGGGGCUGUAGCCGGUCCCAAGGGUAUGGCUGUUCGCCAUUUAAAGAGGUACGUGAGCUGGGUUUAAAACGUCGUGAGACAGUUUGGUCCCUAUCUUCCGUGGGCGCUGCAGAUUUGAGGAAGCCUGCUCCUAGUACGAGAGGACCGGAGUGGACGAACCUCUGGUGUAUCGGUUGUCACGCCAGUGGCAUUGCCGAGUAGCUAAGUUCGGAAGAGAUAACCGCUGAAAGCAUCUAAGCGGGAAACUCGUUUCAAGAUUAGAUCUGCCGGGGCCUUGAGCCCCCUAAAGAGUCGUUCAAGACCAGGACGUUGAUAGGUCAGGUGUGGAAGCG